rnacentral:rRNA from 1 species
AUUGAACGCUGGCGGCAGGCCUAACACAUGCAAGUCGCACGAGUGGCGGACAGGUGCGUCAUGUCUGGGAAACUGCCCGACGGAGGUGGAUAACUACUGGAAACGGUAGCUACUACCGCAUACCAUCGGAUGUGCCCAGGUGGGAUUAGCUAGUAGGUGGGGUAAAGGCUCACCUAGGCGACGAUCCCUCGCUGGUCUGUGAGGAUGACCAGCCACACUGGAACUGAGACACGGUCCAGCCGCCUACGUGAGGCAGCAGUGGUGAAUCUGCCGCAAUGGACGAAAGGCUGGUGCAGCCAUGCCGCGUGUAUGAAGAAGGCCUUCGGGUUGGAAAGUACUUUCAGCGUGGAGGAGUUACCCGCAGAAGAAGCACCGGCUAACUCCGUGCCAGCAGCCGCGGUAAUAC